rnacentral:pre_miRNA from 1 species
CAACUACUCCCUCUGUUCCAAAAUUACUGUCUUAGAUUUGUCUAUAUACUGAUGUAUUUAGUCACGUUUUAAUGUUAGAUACAUUUGUAUCUAAACAAAUUUAAGACAAAAAUUUGGGAUGAAGAUAAUAUAUU